GAGGUGGGAGGAUUGCUUGAGCUUAGGAGGUCGAGGCUGCAGUGAGCAAUGAUGGCACCACUGCACUCCAGCCUGAGUGACAGAGCGAGACCUUGUCUC
ensembl:miRNA